AUGCUGAGGCAUUAAAACCUUGUGAGCGCCUUCAGAUUUGGGGAGAGACUACACAAAAUUUUCCCAAUUGGACAAGAGGAAACUCGGGAUUUUCAUCCCUGUGCUGUCCUCUGAGGUUACCCGCUUUUGUACCUAUCCUUAAAAAAAAAAAAUUGUGAACGACGAGCAAUGUUCAGAAAAACUGAUGUCUGCUCUUAAAAUGCUGAGGGAACCGGGGAGGGGGAAAUUUCUGGGAUGAGGAGAGGCAGGGGCUGUGCUUGGGGGGGGAAGGGAUUUUGCGUGCAGGUCUUGUGUUUACCACUGGGGUUGGCCUCCCCUAUUACACAAGUGUCAUUUCAUUACUAUUUUUAUUUCAUUGCUGGUUUUAAAGCUGGGGGUGGCAGAGCUGGUGCUACAAAACACUGAUUUAGGAGGAGUCAGAUACACUGUGGAUGCCCAGAUGCCGGCUUGGGAUGUGCUGUUUCCAGAAAGGGGCUGGAGCGGGUCCUCCAAAAACACCAUUAGCAGCAAAAUAUCCCCCCUACCCCCAGGCUAAUCCUCUUUCCCAGUAUUUCAGGUGCCUAGUUUGACCUCCCUACUCCAGCUGAACGGUUUUGGCCAGCCUAGUGCAGUCCUCGCCAUCAUCAUGUAGCUGCACAUCUGCUCUUCGCCUUUUCAGUGGCAUUGGUUUUUCUGCAUCUUUUAAGCCUUUUCUAAUCGCCAGAUCUGAUUUGAAGCUAUUGAGUCGCAUUUCUAUGGUCAUCUCCCUCCAGGGUAAACCUCUGAAAAAUACUAUUGAUAUUUAUGUUGCAAGAGAAUUUUAAUUUUUGAGAAGCGUCCAAGUAGCUGCCUUGUCACUCUGCAUUUGAUCUCCUCCUGCAAAAGGGAUGGUGUGAAAGCAGGAGGCUCCUGGCUGCUGCUAAAUCACCCCUGUCCUGUGGAUCGGGUCUGUCCUGGCACAUCCACAGCCCAGGCAAUGCUUCUGGCACAGACCCCCACGGGACAUCCCUGCCGGAUGCCCAGAAUUGCAGGUGCUGGCACGAAGCAGGGCUGAGCGCGUCCAGUUUUGGGCAACUUAAAGCAGAUGGUUGGCGUUUUCUGGUGGCGAUAGCUGCCCUGUGCAGCACUGGAGAGCUGGGCUGAGCACGGCCGACCCGCGCCCUCCCCGAUGCCCAAAGACUCCCCUGAGAGCAGCG